GACCGCUGCCCCCAGCCCAACGGGGACUACCGCACGGACCACGGCCCCCAGCCCAACGGGGGCUACUGCACGGACCACGGCCCCCAGCCCAACGGGGGCCACUGCACGGACCACGGCGAGUGCCGCAGCAAGUGCUACAUCCCGCCGAACGAGGUCGGCCCCCACCGCUGCGUCCCCCGGAGCGGCGUCCUGGUCCAGUGCCUGCCCUGGGUCCACCAGGGUCGCAGCAGGACACGGCGCUGGACGCCCGGGGAAGGGCCAGCACAGCGGCGGGGGGCGGACCCACGAGACGGGGCAGCACCGGGACUCACUCCUGUGGGGCUGGACGAAGGGAAGGACUGUCUCGGGGGCCUCCCCCCCAUCACCUUCCCCAGAGGAAGGAGCUCGGUGAGGCGGCCCCCCAGGACGCAGGACCUGAAGACACCACGGAGGACGGGGUGGGGGGGGCGCAGAGGGAGGUGGGGCACGGUGACCGGAGGGGCACGGCGAGCGGCUGGGAGAUGACACUCUGGUGCCCGAGCUCGGACCCCGGGACCCGUGACUGCAGUCUGACGGAAAAGGUGUGUCUGAGCCCCGAGGGUGAGAGCCAGAGCUUCCUGAGCACGCCCACCUGGCCCGUCAGCACCCAGAGCGGCGGUGGGUGCAGCAGGUGCCACGACAGUGAGUCCACGGGUGUCCCGAGGGUGUCGGAGACAACCAGGCCGCUCCGCUGGCAGCCUCGCCCAGAGGCGCGGACUGUUGGUCCCGAGGACAGUGUGGCCCUUACAAUCCAGCUGCCCGAAGGCUGCGUCUCCCCGUGCGUUUCCUAAUUCUAGUGUGUCUUCUAGUGACUUGGACCCGGUCUGUGCCCUGGAGACCUGCCUGGACCCCGAGCCCCGCACGUGUUCAGGCUGCUCUUCCCGGGAUGAUGAAAACCUGCAGGUAUCAGACGUCUAGCUGUGAACUCCUGAGACCGCCCGCAUCCGGGUGGCCCCUACUGGAACCUCGAGGUGAUAACUUAGCAUCAGUAAACCUCCCGACUGAGUGAGUGUUUCUGUGGACGUGGAGACACCGGGUCUCAGCUCAGCACCGUCCUAAGGAGCCCCCUUCACCAGAGACCAAGUCUCCCCAGAGGAAAGGGCAGGUGCAGACAUGUCCCUCCCCCGCAGGAGCACACAGAUGACUGGUCACUGCAGGUAAAAGUCAUCAGUUGGCCGUUCCAACUGGAAAGGCUCCCCUGACCUUGCGGAUGGCGCAGUGAGGACAUUGGAGCCCGCUAAAGACCCCUGGGUGGGGGGUCUCCCACUGGUCCCACCUUCCCCUGGAGCAGACGUGCUGGCUGAUCUAGAAACUGUUCCCUCUGGUGGCUUCUCGGGGCAAACACCGGAGCCGCUCCUCUGCACCCAGAGUGCCAGAAAUGUAACUGUCACCUUCCUCUGUGCCCAGCGCCCACCCCGCAGACACCAGGCUGCUCUUCUGGGCUCUGCUAAAACAAUUCUCUGCCCUGUGCCUCCCCCCUCCUGCCCGCUCCUCCUGGGCUGGAGAUGACGUUGACAGUACUUGCAGAGUAAGUCAUGAGAAGCCGUCGCUCCCACCCUAAUAGUGAGAACAAGCCAGACACUGUUAAGAGAAUGAAAAGACAAGCCACAGACGAGAAGAAAUGACACAUCUGACAAAGGACUCGGAUGCAGACUAUACAAAAAACUCUCAAAAGUUAAGUGAAAACAACUCAAUUAAGGGACAUUCCUGGUGGCGCAGUGGCUAAGAAUCCGCCUGCCAAUUCAGGGGACACAGG